GCGCAUCCUUAGAAACCCCCCAGUCACUUUUUGUGGUCUCUGGGACAAGAAAGGAUGCAAAAGCAAUCUUAGAGCCAUCCAAAACUGAGAGCCAUAUAUCAGAAACUCUUGGUUAUUUCACCUCUAAGACAAAA
rnacentral:snoRNA from 1 species